UACGUAGGGUGCGAGCGUUAAUCGGAAUUACUGGGCGUAAAGCGUGCGCUAGGCGGUUCUCCAAGUCCGUUGUGAAAGCCCCGGGCUCAACCUGGAAUGGCAGUGGAAACUAGGGGACUGGAAUCUGGCAGAGGGGGGUGGAAUGCCGCGUGUAGCAGUGAAAUGCGUAGAGAUGCGGCGGAACACCGAUGGCGAAGGCAGCCCCCUGGGCUGAGAUUGACGCUCAGGCACGAAAGCGUGGGAGCAAACAGG
rnacentral:rRNA from 1 species